rnacentral:rRNA from 1 species
CACGGUGGGAGCAAGCGUUGUUCGGAAUCACUGGGCGUAAAGGGCGUGUAGGCGGUCAAGUAAGUGGGAUGUGAAAUCCCUCGGCUCACCCGAGGACCUGCAUCCCAAACUGCUUGGCUUGAGUAUGGGAGAGGAUGAGGGAAUUCCUGGUGUAGCGGUGAAAUGCGUAGAUAUCAGGAGGAACACCGGUGGCGAAGGCGCUCAUCUGGCCCAAUACUGACGCUGAGGCGCGAAAGCUAGGGGAGCAAACGGG